ensembl:snoRNA
CCCUUUUUGAAAGCACUCAAUGAGCUUUUUGCUAGUGACCCAUUGAGCUGUCAAGAAGGGGCAAAGAAAAAACACCGCUUUUGGGUGAAGUAGCAAUUUGUGUUGUUUUACUUCAAUGGAUGUUGUAGCAAGA